CGGAUAAACAAAAAUGCACAUGAAAAAAUUCGUUUCACUUGCGGUAAAAUCCUAAAGGUGAAAGAAAAGAUGUUAAUCGUGUUUAACUGCAGACCAAAAUUUUGGAGGAAUAAGAAAUUUUUAUCUACAUUCCAAACAAAGAAUGGAAUUUCUGAUGCCAUUGUUUUGCACUUUUCCGAAUUGGUGUAGGGAAUGUUCAUAUGUGGUCAUCGAAAAAGCCUUCAGUGUAAUGAAAGUACAAUGGGAACAAUGUACUGCAAAAGAAAAGUAUAAUAUGACUGUGAAAAACUCAGCCAUGUCUUUGUUGUAUGAAGGCGAAGAAUCCUGUUGUAGAGGAAGCAUUGUCAUACGAUAUGUCACAAACAACACAGAUGAAUUCAUAUCUUUGAUGACAAACGGAACUGGAACAGAGAACAACAUGACUAAUUUCAGAACUAAGGAGGAAGACACAACAAAAUUUACUUUGAUAAUUAUUUUUGUUGUUGUUGCAUCUAUCUUUGCCCUCAUGAUUUUGGGUUUCCUGUUGAUAAAACUAUUAAAGAAAAAGUCAAGUCAAAAUCGGAAGUAACCAAUUUUUAAAUGACUUUA